UACGGAGGGUGCAAGCGUUAUCCGGAUUCACUGGGUUUAAAGGGUGCGUAGGUGGGUCUGUAAGUCAGUGGUGAAAUCUCCAAGCUUAACUUGGAAACUGCCGUUGAUACUAUAGACCUUGAAUGCUGUGGAGGUGAGCGGAAUAUGUCAUGUAGCGGUGAAAUGCGUAGAUAUGUCACAGAACACCAAUUGCGAAGGCAGCUUACUAUGGUAUGAUUGACGCUGAGGCACGAAAGCGUGGGGAUCAAACAGG
rnacentral:rRNA from 1 species